AUUGAACGCUGGUGGCAUGCCUUACACAUGCAAGUCGAACGGCAGCAUGGAGAGCUUGCUCUCUGAUGGCGAGUGGCGAACGGGUGAGUAAUGCAUCGGAACGUACCGUGUAAUGGGGGAUAACGUAGCGAAAGUUACGCUAAUACCGCAUACGACCUGAGGGUGAAAGCAGGGGAUCGCAAGACCUUGCGUUAUACGAGCGGCCGAUGUCAGAUUAGCUAGUUGGUGAGGUAAAGGCUCACCAAGGCGACGAUCUGUAGCGGGUCUGAGAGGAUGAUCCGCCACCCUGGGACUGAGACACGGCCCAGACUCCUACGGGAGGCAGCAGUGGGGAAUUUUGGACAAUGGGGGCAACCCUGAUCCAGCCAUGCCGCGUGAGUGAAGAAGGCCUUCGGGUUGUAAAGCUCUUUCGGCCGGGAAGAAAUCGCACAGGCUAAUACUCUGUGUGGAUGACGGUACCGGCAUAAGAAGCACCGGCUAACUACGUGCCAGCCGCCGCAGUAA
rnacentral:rRNA from 1 species